rnacentral:lncRNA from 1 species
UCAAUCAAUUUAUAAAAGAUCUGGAAUUAGGCGUUUCUGUUGAAAAAGGGCCAGAGUUGAACCGCUGACACCAGUGAUGGAAUUAGUCCCUGUGCCGGGCGGUCUGAGUGAGGAUAUGCGGAAGUGUAUGUUGGACACAUGCAAUAAAACAAUAAUAAAAAUUCAAAAUGAAGACAGAGGCAUAGGAAAGCCAGCAUCAGGAAGUCAAAAUAAGUAACACCAUGGUAAUACAUGGGCAGGACUUUCAGGAACCCAAAGCAGAGAGCAUGGGAGGCCAGCACUGGGGCGCUGGGAUGUUGGGGAUAGGGGAGGUUGGGGAGUUCCAGACUACCAGAGUAGCCACAGGAGGCCAAAAGUGGAGGCCCAAAGAGAGGCAGAGGGACCCAGCAACACUGCCGCGUGGGGGUCAAGAGUUAUCACAAGAAUGGCUAAAACCAGUAAGUUAGUAGAGCAAGCCGCACCACGCUUUUUGAUGGGACUUCCAAAAUCAAUGCAUCCUAAGUGUAAACUAUAUUGAUUACCAAGAACAACAACAACAAAAAUCAGGAUUCAGUUUUCCUCUCUACACUGAGUGACGUAGUGUGGGUGGAAUGUCUCGUGCAUCAUCUGAUGUGAGGUUCAAAACUUUCUCCGCACUCCGGGUAUUUCAAGGAGAUACACGUGACCCGUCUUCUCUCUAUGUAGAAGUGAAUCAGCUUCAGCAAACCAAGCAGUACUAGCCAGGGUUUCAAAGUCAAUCAUCGAGCAAGCCCCCUCUCCAUCCACCAGUCACUUCUCUUCUUGCAAAGCAGAGCCUCUGACACCCAGCCUGAUAGUCCAAGUCAGGGCCGAAUCCAUCAUUUUUAAAUUCUAUAUAUGGGAAUCAAAAGAAAAAGUCUACACCCCAAAGCUUGUUUGGGGUGCUUUAAAAUUUUGAAGACAGACUUUGUAAUCCUGAUACCACAAAGCAGACUUUUAAUUCACAUACACGCCCAGAAGCACCCAAGAACUCAUGAGAGGCUCUUUGGCCUACAGCAAGUUGGUGACACGGACAAGUGGACAAGGGGAUGGAUAAUUCACGACCCCAUAAAAGACUCCAAAGAAGUCACACUUGACUGUGGCCAAGGGUCUUCAACAACGUGUCUAGAGACUCUCAGGGCCUUUCCCUUCCUCGCCCAUGCCCAACAUGGCCCAGUGGGCCUGUGAUCCCCACAAGAGCACUCUGUGC